rnacentral:lncRNA from 1 species
ACUGUGAGGACAUAGCAAGAAGGCACCUUCCACAAGCCAGGAGGAAACAGGAUGUACUGGCACCCUGAUCUUGAACUACCACCCUCCAGAACUAAAUGGAAUCACAGAAGGGGAAGAUGGAGGAGUCACAGAAGGGGAAGCCUCAAAAGUUGCAUAAUAAUAUCCCCUAAAAUCCUUGGCUGACUGCUUGUGCAUGGGGGCAACUCCAGGGAAGCCGGGAGGAAAACCACAGAAAAAACAUUGAAAGGAUG